ACCUUCCCAAGUGCAAAAAUCUUCUGCAACAAUGAAGGCUUGGGCUGAUGACCAGUGGCUGCAGAACUUUUGGAUGGUCCACAUUUCUGCAUCUUUGUGCAAAACUCACCAAAAUAAAAGCUGCACUGACAGUGGAGAAGAAAAAACAACUGUACUACGGGGAUCUGCAACACCAGAUUAUUAUUGGUCAAUCACUGCUCUCUCUCCUAAACUAAGAUGAAAUGGAUUUCUUUAAUAUUCAAGACUGUGAGCUAAGAUCAUCAGUGAAGACUCAGGAGUUCAAGCUUCCUGGAGUGGGUGAGUUUCCUCAUUUUCUCUCUCUGUUUCCUUUUCUAACUCAGAUUCUUCAGAUUUCCAGACAACGAUUUUCUCCAAAAAAGUUGCACCAAGCAAAAAAUUACCUCAAUACACAUAAUGGCAAGGAAAUCUUUUGAAGAAAAAAUUGCAAAUGUUUUGGCAUACAUAAGGAGUAGCACAUAUCCUGAAGGAAUGAAUAAAGCAGGCAGACUGAACCUGCGUCGAUAUGCUGUCAACUUUUCAUUGGAAGGUUGCACAGUGUCUGACUUGCCAGAAAGAGGGAAAGCAAUCAAAUCUGGAUACCACCUUGAAAAGCAUAGAGGUCACUCGGAUCUGGGAAUUGGUGGGAAUGGAUUUAAUAGGACCGUUUCCAGUAACAAAGAAUGGAUACCAGUACAUAGUUACAGCCA